GUCCCGUACGAGCGCAACCUUGUCCUUAGUUACCAGCACGUUAUGGUGGGCACUCUAAGGAGACUGCCGGUGACAAACCGGAGGAAGGUGGGGAUGACGUCAAGUCAUCAUGGCCCUUACGGCCUGGGCUACACACGUGCUACAAUGGUCGGUACAAAGGGUUGCCAAGCCGCGAGGUGGAGCUAAUCCCAUAAAACCGAAUCGUAGUCCGGAUCGCAGUCUGCAACUCGACUGCGUGAAGUCGGAAUCGCUAGUAAUCGUGAAUCAGAAUGCCACGGUGAAUACGUUCCCGGGCCUU
rnacentral:rRNA from 1 species